UACGAGUGGUGCAAGCGUUAUUCGGAAUAAUUGGGCGUAAAGGGUGCGCAGGCGGUAUGCUAAGUCAGUUGUUAAAGACCUCAGCCUAACUGAGGGUCAGCGGCAGAUACUGGCGUACUAGAGGGUGGAAGAGAGAAGCGGAAUUCUUGGAGUAGCGGUAAAAUGCGUAGAUCUCAAGAGGAACACCGAUGGCGAAGGCAGCUUCUUGGUCCACAUCUGACGCUCAUGCACGAAAGCGUGGGGAGCAAACAGGAUUAGAUACCCUGGUAGUCCACGCUGUAAACGAUGAUCACUAGACGUUAGUUCUGCUCUGCAGAAUUAGUGUCGCAGCUAACGCGUUAAGUGAUCCGCCUGGGGACUACGGUCGCAAGAUUAAA
rnacentral:rRNA from 1 species